rnacentral:rRNA from 1 species
GACGAACGCUGGCGGCGUGCCUAAUACAUGCAAGUCGAGCGAAGUUUUUCUGGUGCUUGCACUAGAAAAACUUAGCGGCGAACGGGUGAGUAACACGUAAAGAACCUGCCUCAUAGACUGGGACAACUAUUGGAAACGAUAGCUAAUACCGGAUAACAGUAUUUCUCGCAUGAGAGAUAUUUAAAAGUUGGUUAUGCUAACACUAUGAGAUGGCUUUGCGGUGCAUUAGCUAGUUGGUGGGGUAAAGGCCCACCAAGGCGACGAUGCGUAGCCGACCUGAGAGGGUGAUCGGCCACACUGGGACUGAGACACGGCCCAGACUCCUACGGGAGGCAGCAGUAGGGAAUCUUCCGCAAUGGGCGAAAGCCUGACGGAGCAACGCCGCGUGAGUGAAGAAGGAUUUCGGUUCGUAAAGCUCUGUUGUUAGGGAAGAAUGGAUAUGUAGUAACUAUACAUGUAAGAGACGGUACCUAACCAGAAAGCCACGGCUAACUACGUG